ACAGGAUGACGGUUUGUUUUUGUUGUUCUUUUGUUUUUGGCCAAGCAGGCCACAUCAACACAGAAUCAGCUUUGCUGUUUGGUCUUUUGCAAGCAAAGUAAUUUUAUUUGUUUUUAAAGCUUUUUUUCACUUGCCGCGGCCAGUUUAAAGUAUUUUUGUGUGAAAUACAAGUCUGAUCGCGAUAUUGAAGUGUGCAUCUUGGUGUGCAAAAUCGAUUUUCCAAUCAGAUUUACCCCGGAGACGUCCCACGUUGUGCCAAUGGCAAAACUGUUUCGCUGCAAUCUGCAAUGGUUGAGAAUGUUUCGUCGGAUCUGAGCGGCUCACCAUGGGAAAAAAGUGUACCUUCAGCGCGAAGUGCUUUGGGCACGAUCGUCGAAUCGAAAUGACCUGAAACGACCAAACAUUGCGACACGGGAUAGCGAUCCGAAGAAAUUUAUCCGGUAAUCAAAGAUUUUUGCGGUAGUGAAUGAAAUUUAAUAAAAGUAUGCUUUACAAAUGUUUUAAUGUGUUGCUAUUUAGAAGAAUCA
rnacentral:lncRNA from 1 species